UACGGGGGGGGCAAGCGUUGUUCGGAAUUACUGGGCGUAAAGGGCUCGUAGGCGGCCAACUAAGUCAGACGUGAAAUCCCCCGGCUUAACCAGGGAACUGCGUCUGAUACUGGAUGGCUUGAGGUUGGGAGAGGGAUGCGGAAUUCCAGGUGUAGCGGUGAAAUGCGUAGAUAUCUGGAGGAACACCGGUGGCGAAGGCGGCAUCCUGGACCAAUUCUGACGCUGAGGAGCGAAAGCCAGGGGAGCAAACGGG
rnacentral:rRNA from 1 species